rnacentral:rRNA from 1 species
UUGAAAGGGAAACGAUUGAAGUCAGUCGUACCGACGAGAAAUCAACUUUUCGAAUGUGCAUUUGUGGGCGUAUGAGAUCUUCAUUGUCUACAAUAUGUAUGUUUCUUUGGUGUACUUUUUCGUAUGGUAGGUCAAUGUCGGUUUUGAUCGCCAUAAAAUGAUCGGAGGAAUGUAGCUUCGGCUUCGGUUGAAGUGUUAUAGCCUUUGGUAAAUGUGGUGAUUAAGACCGAGGAUUGCAACGAAUACCUUUUAGGCUAUCCGUCUGACCUCUGAAAGUUACUUAGGUGCCGAAAGCUUGCUUACGGUCAUUUAAGUUGACGGUCAAUAGGUUAGAACGUGAUUACAUUCGUUAAGGAUGUUGACGUA